CGUUUUGGAAAUGAUUUCGUGGUCGUGGACACGAGUACGAAGCUUAGAGGAGUGUGGAAUUAGUUCGAACGAUUUUAUUUUGAAAACUGAACGUUUUAGGGGGGUCAAAGGAGUUGACUUUUUAUACAUUGGGAAAUUGGGAAAACUUCCUUCAUGAAAGUUGUAGAGCGCGUCGAUACGAGUUCGUGGACAUAUGGAACGUAAUAUUCGGAGUUCGUAUGAAUAAGUUACGAAUAUUUGAAAAUUGGGAUUUUCUAUAAAUAUGAAAAAAAAUCCGAAUAUUGCAAAUGAGGACAGAAUUUCUGGAACUCCAGAAAUUUCUCCCCAUUUCUCUCCCGAGCCCAGCCGCGACCCCCUCCCUUCGUCACCUUCGUUCUUCCUCAUCCGGCCACCGAUUGAUGUGAAACAAAGUGGGUUUUUCUGGUCUCGACCCCCUUUACGAGUUUGUAGAAGAAAUCGAAGUGAAAUACGAGCUGUAUGAGGCUCUACAAGGUCGAGAAGAGAGCCUCGUCGGAGACGAAAUCGCUCUUCCCCACUUUUUCUGGGCUCUACUUUGUCUGGCCAUAUCUUCCUCUACAGGCCUCCGAUCGACCUGAUUCCAAAAGCAAUUUUUCUCACCGUGAAGUUUUCUACAACUUUCCAGAAGACAUCGACUUGAGAUAACCAUCGUGGUGGCCGCUAGAAGACCGAGAAGCCGCACAGCCGAGCUGGAAAUCGUCUUCCUUCGCCACCUUGGUUCUCCCAGCUCCGGCCACUAUAGCUCGAGUUCUUUGAGGGCUUUUCUAGCCCAGAGGAAGUAGAAGCUAUCCCCAAGAAGGCUUGCAGCGAUUUGAUCCGGGGUGAUCGAAUUUUGAAGAUUGGGAAACUAGGGUUCUUCGGGUUUCAAAACUUGCGAGGUGAUUGACGGUCUCCCUUGGGUGAACGAUUUCGGUGUGUAUUGUGUUGAAUUGAAGACGCAGCGGGAAUAUCGAGGUGAGUAAAUCGCACAUGGUUCAUUCACGAACCGAAAUUCGGUGAUUUUAUUUAAUUGAGAAAUUGUGGAAAUUGUUUUACUAAAAUAAAUAUUUGUUUUAAAUUAUAUGGACUUGAUCGACUACGGUCCAUAGGUAAGUAAAAUGUAUUUAAACUAUAAAAAUGAAUUUCUAGAUUUUAUUGCAUGUGAACUAUAGUUGGUAUUAGUGGUCACUCUUGUGUGGGUGACUACGUAUAUAUAUAUUUACGUGGAAUAUAUAUUGGAUGGUGUGAUUUACUGAGUUA